UACGAAGGGGGCUAGCGUUGCUCGGAAUCACUGGGCGUAAAGCGCACGUAGGCGGCUUUUUAAGUCAGGGGUGAAAUCCUGGAGCUCAACUCCAGAACUGCCUUUGAUACUGAGAAGCUUGAGUCCGGGAGAGGUGAGUGGAACUGCGAGUGUAGAGGUGAAAUUCGUAGAUAUUCGCAAGAACACCGGUGGCGAAGGCGGCCAACUGGACCAUUACUGACGCUGAGGCGCGAAAGCGUGGGGAGC
rnacentral:rRNA from 1 species